GAUUUUGCCCCAUAUACAUAAACACGUGUAUUUAAUUAUACCUUUUUACAACUUUAACCAUUAGACCAUUUUUGACUUGCAUGAUGAUGGAAGUAGUAGGAUAAACAUUUUGUGGUUCCACAACUUGGAUAUUGUAAUUGUGUAUGAUGGUAGCUGCCACAAUUUUCAUCUGAAUAAAUGCCAUUUCUUUCCCUAAACAAGUCCUUGGACCGGCGUUAAACGCUGGAAAUUUGAAAGAUGGCUCAUGUUUGAUUCCUCCACGUUCAGAAAUCCAUCUCUCUGGCUUGAACUCUAGACAAUCUUUCCCCCACAGAGUCUCCAUUCUCCCCAUUACAUAGAAUGGUAGAAUCAUUCUUGUUUUUGGACUAACACGAUGGCCGGUUGGAAGUAUGUCAUGAUCAAGUGGAACUUUGUGCUCUAAAGACACUGAUGGAUACAACCUAAGAGUUUCACACAAAGCACCAUGUAGAUAAAUCAAUUUUCUUGAUUCUUCUUUGGUGAAAAACUUUAGGUUUUCGUCUUCUUUUACAUGCAAUUGUUGUUGAAUCUCUUCUCGUAUCUUUUUCUCUACUAAGGGAUUCUUAGCCAAGAGGACAAAAAACCAAGUGAGAGCUGCACUUGUGGUGUCCUUUCCAGCCAACAUCAAAUUCAAGAAGGUAUCCCUUAGAAAUGUUUGCAAAGUACCCAAAUCUCCACCAUUCCAUUGAUUGUAUACUUUGAUAUACGCGUUUAAAAAUGCAAAUUCCUCCUCUUUGAUUCUACUUUUAUGCAUCAACUCUUCUUGUUUUCGCGCAAUGCAAGGAUAUAUGAAUUGAUCAAAAGCCUCACAUGCAUGCAUGAGCUUCUUCUCUUUACCAAUUCUAAGCCAUUGUUGCAACUUCCAUAGACGUUGUGGCGUUAUGUGUCUAUGUAAAAGUGCAUCAAGGGCAUCACCAAACGCCUUUUCGUAUGGCAAAUAAGGUAAGUCCAUAGACAGGCUUUUUGGAUCAUGAUCAAGUAACAACCUAGUGAUGGAAUCAAAAGUAAAUCUUUGC
rnacentral:misc_RNA from 1 species